rnacentral:lncRNA from 1 species
GCACAUGAUCAGUGUAUAUCUGAGACAAAUCCCCCCAUUCUGCCCAUCUAUCUGAAAACCGAUUAGGAUAUAUUAAGGAGUCCCCAUUCAUUGUUAAAAUUUGAGCUUGCUCCCUUGUUAAAAUUACCCCUGUAUACUCGCAGAUAAAGGCUCCGGCUUGAAUAAGGUCCAAAGACCUAACUCCCCAACCAGUCUGCGCAGACCUAAACACUUCCAACCUAUGCCUGAUCCCCUUUUGUGCAACACGAUUCCGACAAUUGGGAGGACAGGAGCAAAAAGGGCCACAUUCAAAAAUCAAAGGCCUCCCUCUCACAAGCAAACCCUGAAGAUUAUAGGGAAACUCUCCUCCAUUCUUCAUAGAGCAAAAGCAGCCAUCAGUACAAGCCUCCACACAUUCACAGCCAGUAGCAUUCCCACUCUGAUGAAACACAAACUGCGGAAAAGUAGUUUUCGGAAGAUACUCAUAAUAAAGAGGUUCUUGAUUGUCAUCUAUAUCAUUAAAUAGCCUAAUAGGAACAUUCUCCCUCUUGUGUGAAAUAUCAACAGAAAGACAAUACAUAGGCUUAACAUCCAACCCAAUUUUCUUAAUCUCCCUAGCCUCUUUGAGAACAGCACUACCCAUCUUAGCCUGCCCCUCAAUUCUCCAUAGCUUAUACUUAUAAACUCCAAAACCAGACUUUCCUACAUCAAACCAACAAUCAACAAUCCUAUACAAUCCAUCAUAAACAUAAACCUUACCAGAACCGGAUGCGCUCCCUUCGUACUUCAUCCCACGAAUAACCCUAACCUCGAUUCCAUAAUGCAUACUCCUUUCCAAAGCAAGGUUUCCGCCCACCAAUUUCUGAUCACAAAUUUGCCUUGAGGAAUUCUUCUCCUGCCCUCCAUGGCCAGUGUAGAUUAUAACAUCACCGUCAUCCAAUUCCAUAUCAUCCUCAUAACCACCCGAAACAAUCACACUGGUAGCAAUUGGUUCACCAUUUGAGCACCUACUUUUAGGCAGGUAAUCAAUGCCAGCUUGUAUCUGCAUAUGCAAACCAAUUACACACAAUUCCAUCCUAAACAAAAACACAUCACCAACAUAAACUCCAGGUAUCGGUCCAACUAUCCUCUUAUCGCGAUACAGCCACAACUCACGCUUCCUCAUUAACGCAGCAGCCCUCAUAUCACCACGAAUGCGAUUACGACCACGACGCCUUCUUCCACUCGACAUCUCCCCUUCCAACCCUGCAGCUGCCACCCUACUCUCCUCACCGACUCUCAUCUCUGCCUCCAUAACCGCAACUUCAGCAGCCAACAUCCUCUCCUCAGCCAACCUCCUCUCCUCAGACAAUCUCCUCUCUUCCUCCACAGCAACUUCAGCAGCCAAUUUCCUCUCAUCAGCCAUUCUCUUCUCCUCCUCAACACUUGCCAACACGCGGAGCGAAUCAUAAAUCAUCCUAGUCUUCCUCAUCACAUCACGAAAAUGCAUCUGAUCCUUCAUACUCAGAUCUGAAACCCUCACAAGCUCCAUCACUUGACUUGCUUUCUUCCUAACCACCGCAACCGCCGUCUCUUGUUUCUCCGGAACAACAACAAUCGCUCGAUCAUUUCCCUCACAGGGCUCAGAAUCAAUAGAAUCCACCCUCAAAUUAGGAGGGUUGAGAUUUAGGUCAGGGUUACAACCAUUGACCAAAUUCUCCAUUGAAACAGCAGAAGCAUUGUUGGAAUCAUCGAUUCCCAUAAAAGGGUAAAGCGAUUUACCAAAAGUAGCAUUGAAAAGCUGUGAAAUACGGUAGUACUCAGUGUAUAAAUCAGAUUGAUCAUCGGUUUCUGAGCCAGGAGAGAAAUGGGGUUGUUGUUGAGAAUCUUGGGUCGCGAAGAAAUCAUCGAAAGGCUCCGGUUUUGGAACGAGCAGCGUCUGAAGCGGUGCUCCGGAGGAAAUGGUGGUAGUUGGGGGUGAAGGUGAGAAAUUAGGGAUUUGGUUGGAAAUAGUAAAAUUGGGGGUGGGAAUAGCAACAGAAACAUGAGAAGAAGGUUGAGAAGGAGAAGGAGUUUCAAGGGUUAAUGAGAAAGGAUCCAUUUGAGUUGUUAUGAUGAUGAAGUUGAAUGAGAAGUGAGUGUACUACUUCUCUGAGGUUAGAGAAAUAGUGGCAUUGGAGUGAGUGAGGUCAUAGAAAUGAAAUGAAAAAAAAUAUGAAAGUGGAGAACAAUUUGAUGACAGAAACAAAGUACUCUUUCAGAAGAUUUAAUGUGUGAUGAUGUAUAAGAUUAUAAAUAUUUUGUUUAUAUGGCUACAUUUACUCUUUCUUAGAAUUAUAUAGACAUAUAAUUCAUCGAUAAAUCUUGAAUAUGAUUAUAUCGAGAAAAAAUUAUGAGAGAUAUUGACCCCAAAAAAAAUUAUGCAAGGCUAAGAAAGAAUUAAGGUAAAUAUAUUAAAAAAGAAAAAUUGGGGUAUAUGUUAAACAUUAUAAUAGAAUUUUUUUUAGAGGAUUUUUUUUGUUGAAGAAAGCAUUUUUUUAAUAGGAUUAUUAAUAGCGGUUCUUGUUUUUUUUUUCUUUUUCGAAUUAGCAGUUUUUGUUUUGACUGGACAUCAUUAAUAUUAAUUAAUUAUAAUAGACUCUGUCGGUAAGAUUUGACUUCAUUGAUAAUGUUAUUGUAAAGUUAGGCAUCUUUAUCUAGAUUUGAAUUUGAAACAUCGUAGUUGUGUGUGGAAGUUUCAAUCGUAUUUUCCAUUUUCUUUAGAGUAUACACUUCAUUUAAAUUAUUUCAUUUACAAUUUAAUCUUUUUAUAAUAUAUUUAAAUCUUUAAUUAAACAAAUCAGUCAAAUCUCAUUGCAAUAGAAAUAAUUUCACCGCAAUAGUAACAAUAUCGAGCACUUUAUAAAAAGUUUAUUUUGAUCUUAUUUGUCAAAAUUAUUUGAUUGUAUUAUAUGAAAAAAAAAUUAUAACUAAGUGUAAUAAAAUAGAUAUAUACAUUUAAUGCAAUAGUAAAACGAACAUGAACAUUCCAUGUGUUAUUGAAAACUUUGUAAUCACCUUGUUCCACAACUUUCUUUUAAUAUGUGGACCCCGUUAGUUUGAUUGAGAUUAUUAGAAUCCAGUGUAGUUUUUGAAUAUGAAGGGUUCAAAUAAAAAGAAUAAUAAUGGAUUGCAACAAGAAGGAAGAAAAGAUUAGUUAAAAAAAAAAUAUGAAAGAAAGAUUUCAAUAUGGGACCUCAUGCAAAACAUAUUUUAACUUGAUUAUGCAGAAAAAAGGAAAGAGAUCAUGACUCUAGGUAAAAAAGAUUAAAGAAAAUGAAAUCUUACAAUACUAUCCAUGACCAAAAUAGAGUUUUAGCAGUCUUGCAAAACUACUUAGUUACAUACAUACUCAUAGCUUUCCUGCCCACUCGUUAGGGAUGCCAUAGUCUAUGCUGAGUUCUCUCAAUGGAGGGAUGUUCUCCAUUGCAUAUAGCAUGAGAUGGGGGAACAUCAGAUUGUCAUGAUCAUAGAGAACAAACUGAACAAAUACAUUUGGACUCGAACUAUGGCUCAAAUAGCCAGCUACAUUUCGCAAUGUUGAUAUAUCCAUAGAAUAAUCUAUAUCAGGUAUUACUGGAUAUGAUGGACGAACAUAAUUAUUGUAUAUCUGAGACAAAUCCCCCCAUUUUGCCCAUCUAUCCAUAAACCUUUUUGGAUAUAUUAACGAGUCACCAUUCAUUGUUAAAAUUUGAGCUUGUUCCCUUGUUAAAAUUACCCCGGUAUACUCGCAGAUAAAGGCUCCAGCCUGAAUAAGGUCCAAGGACCUAACUCCCCAACCAGUUUGCGCAGACCUAAACACUUCAAACAUAUGCUUGAUCCCCUUUUGUGCAACA